rnacentral:rRNA from 1 species
AUUGAACGCUGGCGGCAUGCCUUACACAUGCAAGUCGAACGGUAACGGGCCUUCGGGUGCCGACGAGUGGCGAACGGGUGAGUAAUACAUCGGAACGUGCCCGAUCGUGGGGGAUAACGAGGCGAAAGCUUUGCUAAUACCGCAUACGAUCUACGGAUGAAAGCAGGGGACCGCAAGGCCUUGCGCGGACGGAGCGGCCGAUGGCAGAUUAGGUAGUUGGUGGGAUAAAAGCUUACCAAGCCGACGAUCUGUAGCUGGUCUGAGAGGAUGAUCAGCCACACUGUGACUGAGACACGGCCCAGACUCCUACGGGAGGCAGCAGUGGGGAAUGUUGGACAAUGGGCGCAAGCCUGAUCCAGCCAUGCCGCGUGCAGGAUGAAGGCCUUCGGGUUGUAAACUGCUUUUGUACGGAACGAAAAGCCUUCUUUUAAUACAGGAGGGUCAUGACGGUACCGUAAGAAUAAGCACCGGCUAACUACGUG